rnacentral:rRNA from 1 species
GACAGAGGGUGCAAACGUUGUUCGGAAUUACUGGGCGUAAAGCGAGUGUAGGCGGUUCGAUAAGUCGGAUGUGAAAGCCCGGGCUCAACCCGGGAAGUGCACUCGAUACUGUCGAGCUAGAGUAUCGGAGAGGUUGGUGGAAUUCUCGGUGUAGAGGUGAAAUUCGUAGAUAUCGAAGAGGAACACCGGUGGCGAAGGCGGCCAACUGGACGAAUACUGACGUGGAGAACUCGAAAGCGUGGGGAGCAAACAGG